UACGUAGGUGGCAAGCGUUGUCCGGAUUUAUUGGGUUUAAAGGGUGCGUAGGUGGGUCUGUAAGUCAGUGGUGAAAUCUCCGUGCUUAACAUGGAAACUGCCAUUGAUACUAUAGGUCUUGAAUUUUCUGGAGGUCAGCGGAAUAUGUCAUGUAGCGGUGAAAUGCUUAGAUAUGACAUAGAACACCAAUUGCGAAGGCCGCUGGCUUCAGGGAUAUUUGCACUGAGGCCCGAAAGCGUGGGGAUCAAACAGG
rnacentral:rRNA from 1 species